CGAUGCCUUGGCAGAACACACAGGCAGCCAUUAUAAAUCUAAGACUGGUUGUGUUUAUUAUUGUAUUGUUAAUCGAAAUUAUCACUUGGAAGAAGGCUUAUCAUCUAUAGACAGCAUGAGCAACGCUACAAUGACGUUAAUUCUGGCGCUUUCGGUCACUGUUAGCAUCCUCGCAAUAACCCGCGCUCUUCCGGACCAAACAAACCCCUUUGAUUUGUGUGAUACACCAAUUCCGGUGAACGAAAACGACUGCGGAAUUGCUGGCGUAUGGCGUAAUCAGUUGAAAUCGGUGAUGAAGUUCACCUGCGUAGCUGGUCACAUCGAGG